CCUGAAACCCUGCACUUACAAGCUGUGGAAGCACAUUUCUUGUGUGACCGCGUACUUUUUGUAGAACGGGCCAACGAGUUACGUUAAGUAGCAAGGUUAAGCACUUAAGGUGUGGAGCCGUAGCGAAAGCGAGUUUUAACUGAGCGUUCAGUUACUUGACGUAGACCCGAAACCGGGCGACCUACCCAUGAGCAGGAUGAAGCGAAAGUAAAAUUUCGUGGAGGUCCGAACCCACGAGCGUUGAAAAGCUCGGGGAUGACUUGUGGGUAGCGGUGAAAUUCCAAUCGAGCCCGGAGAUAGCUGGUUCUCCCCGAAAUAGCUUUAGGGCUAGCCUCAAGGUGAGAGAUACGGAGGUAGAGCACUG
rnacentral:rRNA from 1 species